rnacentral:rRNA from 1 species
UACGUAGGGGGCAAGCGUUGUCCGGAUUUAUUGGGCGUAAAGAGCGUGUAGGCGGUUAGGUAGGUCCGUUGUGAAAACUCGAGGCUCAACCUCGAGACGCCGAUGGAAACCAUCUGACUAGAGUCCGGAAGAGGAGAGUGGAAUUCCUGGUGUAGCGGUGAAAUGCGCAGAUAUCAGGAAGAACACCCGUGGCUGAGGCGGCUCUCUAGUACGUGACUGACGCUGAGACGCGAAAGCGUGGGGAGCGAACAGG